rnacentral:rRNA from 1 species
UACGAAGGGGCUAGCGUUGCUCGGAAUCACUGGGCGUAAAGGGUGCGUAGGCGGGUCUUUAAGUCAGGGGUGAAAUCCUGGAGCUCAACUCCAGAACUGCCUUGAUACUGAAGAUCUUGAGUUCGGGAGAGGUGAGUGGAACUGCGAGUGUAGAGGUGAAAUUCGUAGAUAUUCGCAAGAACACCAGUGGCGAAGGCGGACUCACUGGCCCGGUACUGACGCUGAGGUGCGGAAAGCCAGGGAG